ensembl:lncRNA
GAUGGGGAUGGGGGGGUCGCGGUGGCUGGGUCACCAGCCUGGGGGGCAGGGAGGAGCUGUGAGAGAGGCAGCAGGAGGGAAAGAGGAAGUGGAGCGGCGGAGGAAGAGGGAGGAGGCGCGCAGGAGAGGAAGUGAGCAGGUCCUCUGCCCGCUCGCGGGAACUUUGCCCUUGCAGGGAGUUUUCCGAGCUGUCACUGGGGCAGGCCAGCACCCAGCCCCCGGGGCCCUUAGUCGGCUCAGCCAAUGGCGACGGCACUUGCGUUUCUGCAGCAGCUCUCCCGCUCAAGAGAGGGGAAGUGACCCAGUGAGGAUUCCACAGCAAGAGCGAGCACAGGCGGGUGCCCAGCCUCCUGGAUCAUGCCGCUCCUGAAUCCCGCACACCAGCACCAACCAGCCAGGGCACCCAGAGAAAAGCCGCCCUCCUGAGAAGUUCCCAGCCUGGCUUAUUUGGUUGAAUUUUUUCAGAAACAGACAUGAGGUUCCGUGGGCAUCCCCCCUCUACACACACGCAGCUGAGCCCCUGCUGAUCCCUCGGCCCUUCUGCCAGGAGGGCUAGUUGCCCGCCUCCCUGAGAAGCGGUGAGGAGCAAACUGAGGCCCGUGAGAGUGGAGAGUCCAUCACCAGAAGGUCCCGGCACCCAGGACUCCGGGGC